GAGAGACGGGAGAACUCACCUCAGCCCCGGCGCCCUGCGCGGGGCCGGCUUGUAGCAGUGCUGCCCUUCCCUGACGUAGAGGCCGGCCCGGCAGGGGUAGAGGCAGCCGC
ensembl:miRNA gga-mir-6597 gga-mir-6597